rnacentral:rRNA from 1 species
CGUCGCAAGCCUACCCUGUGAAGGGACCAUAGUAAGCAAAAUGGGUAAAACCCAAAACGUCAGGUCGAGGUGUAGCUAAUGGGAUGGGAAGAAAUGGGCUACAUUUUCUGAAACAGAAUAUCACGAACGACAUCAUGAAAAUUGAUAUCUGAAGGUGGAUUUAGCAGUAAAAAAUAAACAGAGCGCAUUUUUGAAUUAGGCUCUGAGACGCGCACACACCGCCCGUCACUCUCCCCCCUAUUAAUACUAAAGUAAAUAACCAAACACUCAACACGCACGGGGAGGCAAGUCGUAACAUGG